UGUUUGUCUUCCUAAGACCUUAAGCUAAAAUGAACAAUGUUCAUACAUGUAAUGUUUGAUGACUUUCAAUAUUGAAAUGGGAUUCAUUUAAAUUACGAAUCCCAUUGACCCACAAGUGACAGGAAAAUGUGGUAAGAUAACACAACUUAUGUAAACAUAAAGACACAAAAAACACGCCUCAGAAAGAACAGCUGCUGUGGUUUGUGACUUCCUGACAGGCAGUGGUCAUUAAAACUCUAAAAUUGCAGUAACAUUUCAUUAUUUUAUUCAAUUUAACACAAACUGUGAUAAAAAUGUAAAGUGUGAGUGGAUGUUUAUGCACGUGGCAUAUAGCAACCCAAAAUUACAGCUCACUUUGAUUAAACCACUACUGACAGUAAAGGCUUGUUUGGUUUUAUGCAAACUCACUGAGCUCCUCCUUCCUCUCAGGUAUUUAUGAUUUACAUCAGCUGGGAGUGAAGUCACUUCCAAAGCACAGCAUGUCUCCUUUAGCUCUUCUGCUGCUGCUGGCAGCUGGAUCUUGUGUGAUUUGUGAACAGCUGACACAGCCGGACUCUGUAAACGUGCAUCCCGGUCAGCCUCUCACCGUCACCUGCCAGGUAUCUUAUUCUGUUACGAGCUACUGGACCUGCUGGAUCCGACAGGCGGCAGGGAAAGGGAUGGAGUGGUUUGGAUGCAGAGUUGGCUCAACUACGUCCUACAAAGAUUCACUGAAAAAUAAGUUCAGCAUCGACAUAGACUCAUCCAGGAACACAGUGACUCUUAAAGGCCAGAACAUGCAGCCUGAAGACACUGCUGUGUAUUUCUGUGCAAGAGACCGCACCGUAACACAAAGCAUCAGACGACCAGACAAAAACCCCUGAGGCCUUAGAGACACCAGAGGGGGAGCCGCCGCACUGCGAAUAAACCAACGCAUGCCUCAGCUUAGGAAAAUUAGAAAAGAAAGUGAUAAUACAUAUGAAAACUGCAAAUAUUUACAGCCAUAUAAUUUUUUGAUAAAAAGAAACAUACAAAUAAGUUACGUCUUUCAAACAGAUUGUCUUUUGGUGCAGAAUUUGCUUUUUGUUUUCUCCUGUUAUAGAGAUGAUUUACAGUGGGAGUGCUAUGGCGGUAGGCUUUAAACAAGCCUUUUACUUAAGUAAAGGAAAUAUUUGACUUGAUAAAGGUACAUAAUGUUAAAAAGGUUUUCAAAAUUAAGGGUCCAUUCAUG